rnacentral:rRNA from 1 species
CAGCAGCCACGGGAAUACGUAGGGUGCUAGCGUUGUUCGGAAUUACUGGGCGUAAAGCGCACGUAGGCGGCUUUGUAAGUUAGAGGUGAAAGCCUGGAGCUCAACUCCAGAAUUGCCUUUAAGACUGCAUCGCUUGAAUCCAGGAGAGGUGAGUGGAAUUCCGAGUGUAGAGGUGAAAUUCGUAGAUAUUCGGAAGAACACCAGUGGCGAAGGCGGCUCACUGGACUGGUAUUGACGCUGAGGUGCGAAAGCGUGGGGAGCAAACAGGAUUAGAGACCCCGGUAGUCCCUGUCUCUUAUAC